UACAGAGGAGCCAAGCGUUGUCCGGAUUGACUGGGCGUAAAGCGCACGCAGGCGGUCGUGCGCGUGGGGUGUGAAAUCGUGGCCGCUUAACGGCCAGGCGCCAUCCCAUACGGCACGACUGGAGCGAUGCAGAGGUCGGUGGAAUUGCCGGUGUAGUGGUGAAAUGCGUAGAGAUCGGCAGGAACACCCAGGGGGAAACCAGCCGACUGGGCAUCUGCUGACGCUGAGGUGCGAGAGCGUGGGGAG
rnacentral:rRNA from 1 species